CUUAAAUUGAAGAGUUUGAUCAUGGCUCAGAUUGAACGCUGGCGGCAGGCCUAACACAUGCAAGUCGAGCGGUAGCACAGGAG
rnacentral:rRNA from 1 species